UACAGAGGUCUCAAGCGUUGUUCGGAUUCAUUGGGCGUAAAGGGUGCGUAGGUGGCGCCGUAAGUCGGGUGUGAAAUUUCGGAGCUUAACUCCGAAACUGCAUUCGAUACUGCGGUGCUUGAGGACUGGGAGAGGAGACUGGAAUUCAUGGUGUAGCAGUGAAAUGCGUAGAGAUCAUGAGGAAGACCAGUGGCGAAGGCGGGUCUCUGGACAGUUCCUGACACUGAGGCACGAAGGCCAGGGGAGCAAACGGG
rnacentral:rRNA from 1 species